ensembl:lncRNA
CGGGUGUGGAGAACCGGGUGUUUGUGCUGGACUGCUAUGUCGUCGUUGUUGUUGAAGAAGGAGAUGAGACACUGAGAUGCAGCGGGAGUGAGAGAAAAUAAAAGAGAUCGCAGUGAUAGAAGAUGCAGAAUACACAGACACUGCAAGAGUAAAAGGGAUGGGAUCCUUACUCCUCCUCUGCUGCCCUCUUAGUAAUCGCAAGGGAUCAACGUGUUCCAUGUGAUCAAAGAAAGGUGAAACUUCUGUGACAACAAGAUGAAAACAGGUUUGCACUGCAUCCUGUGGGAUAUUAGAAUGAGCUGCCAAGAAGCUAGAAGACAGGUCUUUCUAGACAAAAUAUCUAGACCAUGGAGCAUAUGGCAGCCUCCAAGGAAGACAACAUGUCUCAGUCUGCUGGAGAACUCUUCCCUUGCAGGCGACUUCUUUGGGAGAUGAAGGGAGAUGCCAGGGAUUUGGAUAACGUUCACUCAUCUCAGUCUUGGGGAAAAAUCUAGAUGGGCUGAUACGUGUUUGAGGACAUUGUGGAUGACCUCCAGGGGGACCGAACUCAUCAGAAAUCAGGUAUUAAAGGGCCGCUUCACCACUCCUGUCCCAUGUGAGAAAUGCAGGCAGAAAAUAAUUUUCCACGUAUCCGGACACACUUGUUCUUUAUCCAGAUGUCUUUCAUUACCAAGAUAAUUCUCUGAACAUGUGCAACAGUGCCUGGAAAUGCAACCUGAAAUUGGAAGAAAAUAUCAAGUUUUUAAAAGAUAUUUUUAUUUUAUUUUAUGAGUUUUUAAUGAACUGUACUGUGCUUGACAACAAAUGAAUACAGAGACUUUUAUCAGCUAUUUACCUAGCAUAUGUUUGCACAUUUAGCUUUCACAUUAGAGUCAUGCUUCCUAAUAGAUAGGUACAGAACUGUAACUGAACAGAAAUCCACUUUCAGGAUGUCCUUUUAAACACUCUCACUGUCCUUAGGUACACUGAACUUUUAAAGUAAAGUAAAAUAAAAAAGAUGAUCAGUAGCAGCACCAUCUCUAAGAUAGGAAUAGAGACUUUAAUAGCACUAAUUAUGUGCACGUAAACUGACAAAAUAUCCUGCUAAAUGAACAUGUAGGUGUCCACCUUAGAGUGUGAGCAGUUAAUUGCCUUCAUCACAGUUGGAGUAAUUGCACAGAUAUAUUUGUGUAUGGGUGUAAGGGUAUGUUUCACGCAUAAUAAUUGAAUCUACAUCUCUUACUUAUUUGCUUUCAGAGAUUUUGAUACACACUGCAGCACUGGGUAAGUCCUCUGCUGUAGCUCUUCCCCUCCUCUGUGUUAGAGCAUCCAUGCAGAAAUGUUUGAAAGAAUCAGCGUGGCCAUUGCUUGUCAGAGUCUCAAGUCUCGGAGUCCUGAGCUGUUAGCUAAGAACAUGCCAGAGCUGGAAACAUCUUCUUAAGACAGAAAUUUAACUAAGUUUAACUCAGUUGAUUUUCACCUAGAACAAAAAUGACUAUACCAGAGAUUCAAAUAGACAAUCCUAACAGCCUUCAAAGUGAAACCAUUUGCUCUAACUGGAUAGACAAAAACUAACAAACAAAAACAAGCAAACAAAAAAACAAAACAAAACCCUGCCAAUAUACUGCAUCUUGGUUUCAGAUUAAAUUCUUUGCAUUUGGUAAAAUAAAUCUAGCCUUUUUAAGUUAGAAAAUAUAUAUGUAUAUAAAUAUUUACAAGGGCUGCUCAGAAAGUAAUGCCUUCUAUUUAAUAUGUUGGCCUAUGAAGUCAGAGGUGGAUGUUGGUGGGAAGGCAGUAGAGGUUGAACUUUCCUGCCAAUAUUCUGUUACUUCUUAUUGCCAUGCAACAGAUGACAGCAGAGGGGCAGUCUGACAAAAGGAUAUCUAAUAUGGAAGUGUCACUGUAAAGGUGUACAGUAAAGGUGUGUCACUGAAUUCCUCCAUGCGGAAGAACUGGCACCCACUGACAUUCAUCAAUGCUUGAGGAACAUUUAUAGGGAACAAACACUAGAUGUGAGCACAGUGAUGCAGUGUGUGAUGCGUUUCAGCAGUGGUGACAUUGAUGGGAAAGGUAAGCCACAUUCCAGAUGACCAUGCACAGCUGUCAGAACACCAAAUGAAGAGCAUCUCAAUCAGCUCAUUUGCACUAAUUGGCAGAUUAUGAUCAAGGAACUGUAUAUAGAGCUCAAUAUCAGGUUCAAUGCAUUUGAAACAAUGGUGGUAAUGUUGGAAUAUUGCUAAGUUUGAGCUAGGAGGGUCCCACGAAUUCUCACACAAGGAACAGAAAGAACACUGUGUCCAAGUUUGUUAAGAUCUAUUGAACUAAUACGACGCUGAAGGUGACAGUCUCUUGCAUCACACCAUUACUGGUGACAAGAUCCGAACUCAAAACAGCAGUCUCUGGAGUGGUGAUAUGUGAAUUCCCCAUGAAAGAAGAUGUUCAAGACAGCUCUCAGCAGAUAAGUGAUUGGGAUAGGGGUGAUUUUCUGAAUUUACUAGAACCCAAACAAACCUUCAACUCUGACUGCUACGUUGCAAUCCUGACUAAGCUAAAGUCUUGAACUUUCAGAAUUAGGCCAGAGAAGAAGAGAAGACAACUUCUCUCUUGCAAUGUGAUAACACCAGGUACUAUAUCACUUUGUAGACCAUGGAGUAUAUUGCCAAUCUUGGCUGUCCUAUCCCACACACCACGUAGCCUAGAUUUGACACCUUCUGGCUUCCAUCUGUUUGGGCCAGUCAAAGAUGGACUGUGUGGGCAACAUUUUCCCAGCAAUACACCAUCAUAGCAGCUGUGAAAAAGUGGGUUACUUCUGCUGGUGCAGAUUUUUAUAAGUGCGGCAUGCAAGUUCUUGUUCAUCACAGAUAAAAAUGCAUAGGUAAUGGUAGCGACUGUGUUGAAAAAUAGUGUUUUGUAGCUGAGAAUUUGUUCUAUCAAGUAGUGUUAUUGUGUUAUUUGAUGUCAUUUCCAUGAAAACAAUGGAGGCAUUACUUUUGGAGUGACCUUUGUGUGUAUGUGUAUGUAUAUAUGCGCAAAAUUAUAUGUAAAUUGAACAGUUUUGCCUUUGUGAAGCUAGGUGAAAAACACUCUAGAAGCAUAAGCCACAGGAACAGAAGCUGAAAUAAGAAUCCAUUGAAAUUCAUACCUCGAGUUUAUACGUUUUUAGAAGUGUAUUUUUCCCUUUCAGACUGGUGAGCUGAGGUCUUUAAUUGACAAAGAUGACCCAGUGCCUCACCCUUUACCCCCUAAACUUAAUUUUAAGUAAAACUCAUAUGCUUCUCUCUAGUGGUUCCUUUUUAAUUGCCUUGAAUGUCUGAACUCUGUUAAAAUGUUUGGAGUUUCCAAGUCCAGUUGUACACAGAAAAAAUUGCUAGUUUGCAAACUGUAACUGAAGUCAGAGAUUAGGUAUUGAUCUCAAAAGAAAAUUACUAAGGAUUGUGGGAGAUCUUGCUCUGACAAGAAAGGAUGACUUUUGAGGCCUCCAAAGAUGCAAAAUUCUUUCAAUGAUGUGCAUUAGUGCUAAUCAGUAUGUGUUGCCAUGGUUCAGUAGAAGUCAGUGCUGAACUUCACAAAACUCUUUCAACCUUUUCUCUCUAACUGUAUAAAUGUGAAAGUAACAAUAAAUCUUGUUGACAAUUACUUCCACAUCUAUUGGCAGUCAGUCAGGUGCAAUGUGAACAGCAUUGUGCACAAUAUGGGUAGCACAGCCAACACCUAUUAACUAUCUCCCUAGUUUCUCCUGUGACUUACAGAACAUGUUAUUUUUCCCCAGUGAGUAGCCCUUUCAAAUGUUGAAUUAGUAAUAUUAGCACCAAAUACUACUAAUUUGUCAGCCAGGCUGUGUUUUUCCAAAGUGUUCACAAUAGGGGCUGAUAACUGCUUUGCAGUUCAGCAGAGCAAAGAUGAAAAUUCAGAAACUUUCUAAAUCAUUUGUAUAAGACUCAAAGUAGGUUUUUGUUUGUUUGUUUGUUUGUUUUUGUUUUGUAACCACUAGAAUAUUCAAUAUGUAUGUUUAAAAAAGAAAAAAAGUGGCAUUUCAGCUUCACUCAGCAAGAUACUUAACUGCAUGGUAAUAUGGAAGUAUAUAUUUAGGUUCUUUGAAGAACCAGAGCUAGAAACAUUUUUAAUAGCAUGAAAUCUUUGUUCAAAGAACACAUUGUCAGGACCACCUUUGUAUUUUCAGAUUUUAGUGGCUAGCUUAACUAAUAUUUAUGAAGAAGUAAAUCUCUCUGCUAUAAAUAACAAUUUUCUAUUGUAUAUAAUGCAUUCAUUGCUUGAACAGUUUUCAUUGACAUCAGUAUGAAACCUGUGCAAAUAAUUUUGUAGCAUAUGAAACUGAAAAUCACAAAUGGUUGAGGGUUGAUAGUGUUACUUUUCUAGUCAGUCUUCUUAUGCAAUUCUUACAAGCAAGUGCACAAAUACUUUUAUGUGAAAGCAUACAUACAGAAAUAUGUGAAAACAUAAAUAGACUGACCUCUAUCUAAUUUUCAUGAGUUUGUAGAUAUCUACCGUUGGUAAAAGAAUGGCAUUCAAUAGUCAACAGAGAUUUGCUGUGGACAUAUGAGAAGUUCAGUCAGCCUCUUUCCUUUCAUGAUAUGUCUUAUUUUCAACUCAUGCUUGGUUAAACCCAGGAUAUGAAUGAUAAGUAAGUAACGGUCUGUUACAGAUAAAACUGUCUAUGGUUUUUUCCAUUACAAGAUUCACAAGAGGUCAGCAUUAUGCUGAGUUAUUUAGUAUACGGAGGGAAAGGUAACCAGUUUGGUGACUAGGGAAGAUCUAUAGGAAGUCUUUGCCAGAAUAAAAGCUUAAAGGAAGUUUGUGAAUUGUGUGAUUAUGCAAGGAGUUUCAUCCAUAUGUGUACAGCUCUCUUUUUUAAAAAGAGAGAGGUUUUAAUCUAAUCAAAGAUUGGAUGAUAUUACAGGAAUUUUGACUGUAGAGAGAGCUUAUGUUACUGAGCAGCUUUGUUAGCUUUCACUGCCUGGAAGUUUCCUCACUUCUAACACCAGUCACACACUGGGAAGGGUGACUUCUAUGACUGCCAGUCAUCUCUUACAUGGACUAAUGAUUCAAUUCCAAUUUCUAAAGGAGUCAGAGCAGUCCGCAGUCUCCCUUGUCUGCGAGUCAAAAAUACGUGCUAGGUUUUCAGCUGAAUCAUAAAAUUCAUCAUGAAUUUUGAUAACAUUUUAGGAUGACUUUGUGCUGCUUUUAUGAGCUCUAAAAGCUGUAUUAUAAGAAAAUACAUAAUGAAGGAAGAAUUGUAUUUAUUGUAUUUAGUUCCUGAUAAAUCAAUGUUCGAAAAGAAAAGAAAGAAGAGAAAAGAAGAGAAGAGAAAGGAAGAGAAAGGAAAAGAAAAGAAAAGGAAAGAAAAGGAAAGAAAAGGAAAGAAAAGGAAAGGAAAGGAAAGGAAAGAAAAGGAAAGGAAAGGAAAGGAAAGGAAAGGAAAGGAAAGGAAAGAAAAGAAAAGAAAAGAAAAGAAAAGAAAAGAAAAGAAAAGAAAAGAAAAGAAAAGAAAAGAAAAGAAAAGAAAAGAAAAGAAAAGAAAAAAGAAAAGAAAAGAAAAGAAAAGAAAAGAAAAGAAAAGAAAAGAAAAGAAAAGAAAAGAAAAGAAAAGAAAAGAAAAGAAAAGAAAAGAAAAGAAAAGAAAAGAAAAAUAAUAUAUUGCGAAUGAGGACUCUCAGACAAUACUGUCAAGUCAGAUAAUCAGCUGAGAGGUCAGAGUGCCUUGAGCUGAAUGGUGUCAGAGAUGCGGUGGAAGGUGCUUUGGGCUUGAUACAUCAUCUCUCUUCAGCCUCCCCAAGAAUUUUAAACAGGAAGGGCAAAAGAUGUUUCCAGGAUGAAUUCAUUAAUUCAUAUACAAAUACCCUAAGUCACAAAAAAGGUGUCUUAGCAACAACAGCAGUGCAACAACGUUGAGUACACCAGGUCCUCAGUUGUACGCCACUCCCAACCAAACAACAAAACAAAACAGACAGAAACAACAACAACAACAACAAAAUGAACUUGAAAGAAGAAAUGGUCUGGUUGGGCUCUGGUAAUCCAUAUUUUAAAAAUUACAAGUGUCACAGGUAAUUUGAAGGCAGAUCAGGCAUCUUCUAAAUCAAAAUGUGUGGACCUCACUAGAAAAUACUACCAACAGUUAACAGUUAUAAAGUAAGUUAGUUUUCAUAAGGAUGAAAAAGUGCCUCCAGAGACAACACAUUGCUGAGAAGAAUUAGACGACCAAAGCUGCAGAAGGGACUGCAUCUUUGGGGACACCCCAGAAGUCCAGCACCACAAAAGUCCCUCACAAUACACAUAGAAAUACUGAGGCCAAGAUGGUGCAAGGCAGAGAUGACAUUUCAGUACAAGAAAUCAGCAAGCAGGAGAGAUCUGAGCCAGCAGUGAAGUCUGCAGUGCUGAAACCAUCAGGAGCAUGAACAGCCUGGCUUCAGUUUCUGUCCAUUGUUGACAUAGAAUCCACAUCGCCUGGUGGCCAGGAUGUUAACUGGAUACAGAAACUGGAAGCAGAAUUCCUUUCCCCCAG